rnacentral:tRNA from 1 species
ACGGCUGUGGUCCAGUGGUAAGACGCUGCCCUCCCAAGGCAGAAACCCGGGUUCGAAUCCCGGCAGCCGUA